UACACCUUAUCAAUUUCCAGCUCUUUCUCUUAGAAAGGAAAAAGGGCCAAGGAGGGAGAGAGAGAGAGAGCCAACCAAAACCACUUUCUUCCUUCUUUUACUACAAAACACAGCUAAGUUACUUUUUCCACUAGCAGCAGCACAAAGUCUUCACGAGUCAAACACAACCAUCAGGGUUUGGUCAGACCCCACCAAUACGUAAGUUGCAAGCAUGAGUUCUGCAUACAGUCCUCGCAAAGUAAGAAAGAAAAAUCAGAGUCCCUUCUACCACCUGCAGCACUUAACCACACAGAGAACAGUUACUUCAGACCACAGUGGAGAAGGGCACAGUAAACACCACAAACCUGAUCGAACUUAAUUUGGAAGAUCCCUUGAGCUCCAGCAAAAACAGUGCAUAGAAAUAUCUACUUCAUGCAGAAAAUAACAUCCAAAUUCUAGUGAUGACUCUACUUUGAAGUAUUCCGAAUUUAAACAAGCGAGCCUCCAACAGAAACCAACACACAGUGCUAAUUCAGCACAUGGUGCUACCACUUACUGCCAUCACAAUUCACAGAACUUGUCUGAGACUGCCCCACUUUGCAGAGUUCUCCGCAGCAGCGUGGACUUACGCAAUCCUCGCCCUGUGAUAUAGAGGCUUCAAAUCCUUUUAAAAAUGUAAACAGCCUCAUUAGUAAGCGAUCAAGGAGGAGGGACUUACCUCCAGCAGAAAGAAAGGAAGCUCCAGCCUGGGAUAAGGUUUCAGACCUAAGAGUUAGCUUACAGCACAAGCACUGCUGCUAGCUACGUCUCUCAUGGGUUCAAGAGAGCACAUAUUACUGGAUUAUUUGCCUGAUGGCUUCUGAGGCCUAAGACUCCCAGUAGUUGCUCACUGUCCAUCAUAUAAGUGAACUGCUAUAACAAGAAGUGUAAAUUUGUAAGCCAGGUUGCCUGCUGUGAAUUCGUAAUUCCAGCUGUAAGAUUUUUAAGCCACCUCCAUGGAAUGCAUAUGGCUCAGCAACUCUGCAUGUCCUCAACUGUCAAUAGAAGCUUCAGAUUUCCUCAAAGAAACAUAUUCAUUGCACCUAAACUAGAAGGCCAGUGAAGCAAUGCUGACCAAACAUGCCUUGGACUACACUUCCGCAUGAUGACUCACUGGCGUGGAACAUCCUACAUCUUCCUUACAUUCUCAGCCUCAGGUUGCUGCCUUCAGACUGGCUAUCAGGAUCACUACUGAGAGAAUAGCAGUUGCCCCAGGCCAAAAGCAUGCAGGAAGUUUUCCAACAGCAGAGGCAACUGAGUUCCGGUGUCCACCGAUAGUCUGACUUGCUAACAAAGACAUAGCCACAGAUUUCAGUUUGAGUGCCUGAAUCUCUGAACUUUUAGCUGGUAGGACAUCCUGAAGUUUUUCUUUCAACCUGGACCAAAACCCAGACAAAGUUUUCACUUUCCUGCAAACUGAAAGCUUCUGAAAAACAUCAGGCUGAGAGCACAAACAGCCAGCACAGCCAACAUGAAAUACACACCUUAGCCACCCUUACCGGAAGAGGAAAGGAUAUGAGGCAACCCACAAUGAGAGACAGGAUCAAGAAUAACAAGAAACCACACCUUCAGGCAAUCUCAACUCAGGUUGCUGCAGUCCUGCUUUUGGCCUGUCCUCUGGAACUCAUGCUGUAAUGCAGUGAGUCAGCUCAGAGAACUUAUCUGACUUAAAGUUAACCAAAGAGAAAUAAGAGCUAGUUGUCAGUCAGGUCAGCUCCCUGAUGCACCUCACCAUCAAACUCCAUGAGUGCCAAAAGCAACGCAAGGCAGAGGUGUGCUAAUUCAGUUUCUUUCACUUAAACACCCAUGGGACUGCACCACUAAAGGAUAGGAUAUUUUCACUGUUUUAAGUCUAACUUACUGAGAUUAAAGUCCAUACAAAAUUGAAUUUUCCAAUAAUCUUCCUGUACUUACAUCAGCAACUAGAGAGAGGUAUCAAAAUCCUCUUAGGAGUAUAAUUACCUUUUUCAAUAUUGAUAUGUAUACCACAGUGAUUUCUGCCUUAUUUGCAUUUAAUUCCUUAUCACCAUUAAAGAUUACUUGAAAAUAUGCCAUGUUAACGAGGCAUUUUAGCACUGGCAGUCGGAUACAGUUCUGCUACAGAAGUACUGCUAGAAGUUACUACAGUAGUAGCUCUAAAGCAAUAGUUUCAACUCAGAAUAAAUAAUUUCCUCUGAAGUGAAUUAAAUCCUGAAGACAGGCACUUGCCAGUUUGCAGCUAGUCAUCGCAUAAACCGAAAUCCACCAAGCAGGCUUGGGAUGUCUGCCUACCAGGAAUUCUUUCCAUUGGAGCCAUUCUUCAAGUACUUGAACAGAGAGACAAAAUAUCAGGUUGUCAACACUCUGAUCAUUCAAAACAGGGGCACUUCUGGGACACCGCAGAAAACAGACCAAAAUGCAAGCAGUUAAGCAGUAAAAGGGACUGGAAGUUUUCCAGUUACACACCCAUCUAGUAGGGCGUGCUACAGAAGCUCUUGCUUUACUUUUAGUUCAUUUUCCUAUUGCUUUUACUGCACUUUGGCCCACUUGCAUCAGUAGGAAAAGGAAGAUCAUGGGUUCUGGUAACAGAAUUACUGGCAAGAAUUCUUAUUUUCUUCCUUCUUUUUGUGGAACAUUUUCAGAAUAUGUACUUUAACACUUUAUCCAUUUUUCUCAAAAUCGUGAAAUACGCUCUCAUGUGUUGCAGUAUUUAAACCAAGUUAAAAGUGCCUCAAAAUUAAUGAACUCCAGGAACUUCUGCUAUCAAGCCUCAAAGAAAAAGAAGUGCAGCAGAGUAAAGCUUCACUACAAGCCCGAGUGGCAACUACAUCCAGCCCGUGAGACACCAACAGCUUACCAGCAAACAGAGAAUUCUGCCAUACGCCCCCAGCCUGGCCCAGCACUAAGCUACUAGCCCAGAAGGACAAGGCUCCAUCACAGUCUUGACCCUGGACAGUGCCACUCACAUCAGGCCCAUGAGAAGGAGAAGGGCUGUCUAGAACCUGGCAUACACCACCCAUCACCACCUCUAACUCAUGUCAGUGGGUUCAGGAACAGAAAGGUUCACGAAUUUACACUCUCCCUCUAUCUCUUCACUUACAGAGCUUACAGCUGGAUUCAACAAUAUCAUAUGAAGUGCAGACUUCACAGGAGAUGGUCUUGCGUGGCUGUAACAGGUGCUGCCUUGGCUCUGUGAUACUGAGUGGAAUAGGAACAGUCCUGUGCUCACUCUCAUCCAGGGAUAAGUAGUAAUAUAAUCCCACAUAAACAGACCAGAAAUAGGUGAUGCCGCAAGAUCCUAGCACUUCCUCAAAGAUGACAGCACUGGCUGCAUCAGCGUGCUCUCAAGAGAAGAGUGAUUCCUUUAAACCUUUAUUUUUCUUUCCUCCUCUCUGCAGAGCUGCAGCCUGAGGAAACGUAUGGCCCUCUCUGAGGGCUGGAGUCCCUCAAAUAAUAAUCAUUCCACUUUGUACUGCAUAGAAUCACAGAAUCAUUAAGGUUGGAAAAGACCUCUAAGAUCAUCUAGUCCAACCCCAAACCCAUCUCCACCAUGCCCACUAAACAACAUUAGUACCGCAUCUACACGUUUCUUGAACACAUUCAGGGACAGUGACUCUACCACCUCCUUGGACAGGCCACUCCAAUGCCUCACCACUCUGAGGAGAAAUUCUUCUGGACACCCACGGUGCAACUCAAGGCCAUUACAAUGCUACAAUUUUACAGGAUACUUUGAAAGCAUCACUUUUCUGGUUUGCAUUGUGUUCUUCUAUGUGCUACAUACUUGCAAAACUCUACACCCAGAGUUAUUACUCCUGUUCAAUAAACUGGGAAAAUUCUCAAUUUCAGUGACAACCCUGAGUGACAUAAAAGGAAUAAAAUAAACUCCAGCAGAAAUACAAUGAAACCACCAGGUUUUUCCGGUUACACAGUCUCAAAAUAAAUGAAUUGAUAAAUAA